AGGAGAUAACUUGCACCCACAGAUUCACUGUGACAUCAAAUAAUGAAGACAAUUAUGACUGUGUUGUCAUUUAGAUUUGGGGCUAGAUUGGCAGAGGGCCCAGCUAAGGGGCUAUAGGAACACUCAGCCAAUUUGAAGAGAGGAGUCUCAAGAAGAGACUAAAGCUGAGCAGACUUAAGGAAGCCCUUUCAAACAAGAAAGGAAAGGCUGGCACACCGUUUUAGUGAUUGUUCAAAGCCGAGUCAUCCCAUUGUCAUUUUAGGUCAUGAAACGUUUUCAAAUGGUUUCUUUCAAACUCUCAGCCAUAGCUGAACUACAGCAUUGUAUGAAGAAGGGACCUGGAUUAAAUUCAUACAUUCAACAGAUAUUAGGUACUGGAACUACUCUAGGCCCUGGAGGGACAGUACAGAACAAGAAGUGGUGCUCCCAGCAGAGUAGCACAGACAGGAAGAAUGCAGACAAGAAAUAUAUAAAAAAUAAGGAGGUAAUACAAUACCAGGUACUAUAUAUGUUUUGAAGAAAAUUCAAGCAGGGUAAGGAAACAGUGAGCGAUGGAAAGGUGGCAGAUUAGACAGGAAAGCCCCCUUAAAUAAAGUGGCAUGUGGGCCAACACCUGAAAGCAGUGAUGGAGAAAGUCAGGUGGAUAUGUGGGGGAAGGGCAUUCCAGACAGAAGCAACAGAAGUGCAGAGACCCUGAGGACUUGCUAAUGGACUGGAUAUAGGGAAUGAGAGAAAGAGAAGAAUCUGAAAUGACUUCUAGUUUGCUGGUCGGGAAAAUGAAUGAAGGGCCAGAGCAUUUGUACGUCUGCAUGACCAUGCUGCUCUCACUUGGCCAUUCAUCAAGGGGAAAGCAUCAACGAACCCCAGGGGGAGGCCUCUGCUGCAGCUGAGAAAAAAUCUCUUCCUUUAAGUUUCCUCACCUCUGCUUCAAUUCCAGGCAAGAAUUUUACUGCAAAUACUUG
rnacentral:lncRNA from 1 species